CCAAGGGCUCAAGCGGAAGGAGAGUGGCUUGGGCAUGUUCUUUCCAAUUUUACUCGCGAUCCCAGACGGACGUCUGAGGAAAAUACUCAAGUAGUGCAGUGAAAGGAAAAAUUCUAACCUCGACCGUAAUUACCGCGUGUCCAUCGUGGCUAAGAUCUAGUCAAAAGAUCAGCCGACCAUUCCUACGUUUAUUAAGCGAAGGCCGAACCCAUCGGGUUUGGCCGUACGUAAUACCGUACGAAACGCCGGUCGUAGUGCCGUAAGCCGUACCCACUACAGUCUCGUCACCUUGCCACACAUAUAAGUACCCAUCAUACCGAUCGACUACAGUAUGUGUUAGCCGUCUCCGACCACAAAUCUUCUUUCGGUGUGGCGCCUGCAUACAUGUGAGCAUCACUGUAUUUACCGCAGCGUGUACCGGCGUGGGUCCACACACAUACAAGCCUUUCUCGGCCUACACCAGUGAAAAACGGUCGAUUGUCUUUUAUCUACGCGUGCAGUGACAUACAUAUGUACAUAUGUGUCAUUGCUACGUCGCUAACGCCGCCCGCAUACGAACAGUAACGCUAAAGGAGAAGACAUUUACCGGUGCCGAAAUACUGUUUGCGUUUCUGAUGAAGUCAUUCGGUGUCUCGAUCAUGAUGGCUAUGCCCAUGCAUUUCUUCAUAUUAGAAUAAUACUUUGGAACCCCACUAUUGUACUGACCCUAUGAUUAACAUUAAAAGUUAAAUUCGUGUGAUUCGGUUUGUUUGGCUUAUCAUAAAGAAAUGUGCAGCUAGAAGGAAACGAACUAAAACUAAUACUCGCGCGUAUCGCCUAUCUACUCUGACACACUGAUAUUUACAAGUUUUCAGCCACCCUCAUCGACCACAUGGAAGCGCUUUCAUCGUUGGAUUUGAUCGUAAUCCGUACUGUAACGCUGACCAAUCCAAUUGUUCACGUGUUUGUUUUGUUCUGCUCUUUCGCAAGCAAUGUAACUUUCUGCAAUUCCGAAUCUAUCGACAACCUAACUUAUUGCAAUUGCUGUGCACUUUAAAGAUGCACCCAUCCGUCCCUUGUUUUUGCAUUUAAACUGAAAACCAUUCGAAUAUAUUUCUAUUUGUGUAACGUAAUUACCAUUAUUCCUGAAUAUACUCUUUAUAAUUAGUUGACCCUAGUCUAAUAAGAUCUUUCAUCAUGAUAUUUUUAUAUAUAUAAUUAAUCUUAAUUGCAGCUUAUUUGAACAUAUUAUCCUUAUUACUUUAGUAGCCCUUAUACAUAUAGUGACAUAUCCA